rnacentral:rRNA from 1 species
GGAAGUAAAAGUCGUAACAAGGUCUCCGUUGGUGAACCAGCGGAGGGAUCAUUAUAGAGUUUUCUAAACUCCCAACCCAUGUGAACUUACCUUUUGUUGCCUCGGCAGAAGUUAUAGGUCUUCUUAUAGCUGCUGCCGGUGGACCAUUAAACUCUUGUUAUUUUAUGUAAUCUGAGCGUCUUAUUUUAAUAAGUCAAAACUUUCAACAACGGAUCUCUUGGUUCUGGCAUCGAUGAAGAACGCAGCGAAAUGCGAUAAGUAAUGUGAAUUGCAGAAUUCAGUGAAUCAUCGAAUCUUUGAACGCACAUUGCGCCCAUUAGUAUUCUAGUGGGCAUGCCUGUUCGAGCGUCAUUUCAACCCUUAAGCCUAGCUUAGUGUUGGGAAUCUACUUCUUUAUAGUUGUAGUUCCUGAAAUACAACGGCGGAUUUGUAGUAUCCUCUGAGCGUAGUAAUUUUUUUCUCGCUUUUGUUAGGUGCUAUAACUCCCAGCCGCUAAACCCCCAAUUUUUUGUGGUUGACCUCGGAUCAGGUAGGAAUACCCGCUGAACUUAAGCAUAUCAAUAAGCGGAGGAA